ensembl:snRNA U6 U6 spliceosomal RNA
GUGUUUGCCUUGGCAGCACAUAUACUAAAACUGGAACAAUACAGAGAAGAUUAGCACAGCCUCCCCACAAGGAUGACAUGCAAAUUCAUGAGGCAGUUCAUAUUUUU